rnacentral:lncRNA from 1 species
AAGUGAAGUGGGGCCGAUCUCAUUCAGAAUGUGCUGUAUCUUGACCCCACAUUGAUGACCCUGGGGACUCUAGGGGAAGCAGAGUUUUACACUAGAUGUGUGGGCUGCUUCACUUCUGAUUAUUUGAAAAUGUAUCCCCUUUUUUUCCUCUGUGAAGCAUUGAACCAACAGCUUCACUGUAUUCUAGAGAGUUGUUAAGUUGACUCAAUCUUUCUUUUUUUUUUGGACAGUCUGUCUUUUGCCCAUGGACUUGACAUGUCACCUUUAAUUUAAUUCCCAUGUCUAUCCUGAACUUUGUGCCUACAUAUGUUAUUGUUUUUAAAGCUAUCAUGAUUAAUCAAAUAAAUGUUCUUUAAGCAGUGUUAUCUAAUUUUAAAAGCCUUUUGGCUAAUGUGAUUUUCUCAAAAGGUAAGUCAUAAGUGUAUAUAGCUAACGUUGGUUUGGGGAGCCUUAAGUAAUUAAAAUUUUCUUUAUGUUCUAGCAGAAUUUUUAGACCAAAAUGUUGUGAGAACAACUUUUCUAUUAUUUUCCUUCACUGAGCUUAUAAUUCUGCAGAUAUUGGUCACUGUUGGCUUGUGUGUUAGCAUGGCCUUCACCAUCAAUGAUGUACAAUAUGGCUUAACUUCCAGGGUAAUGUUAUCACAAAUUGCCAUCUGCCUUAUGGUAAGUUAUGAGUGCAAGGUUGAGUACGUUCUUCCCUAAAGUAACCAGUAUAUCCUGGUAGGGUCAAGUACAAAUUACAGUUUCACCUGGGACAUAGACUGUUUGUACUGUCACCACCACAGUGAGACUUAACAAUUGAUUAAUAAUAGUAAUGUUGAUUAAAAAAAUCACCACCACUACGAAAACAGGUGCCAAUCUUUGAGCACUUUGUUAAAUGUUGGGUACUGUGCUAUGGAUUUUGAUAGUUUAAAACAAUAAGAAAUUAUUUUGGUAUUACAGAAGAGAAAGCUAAAGCUCAGGGAAGUUGAGUAACGCUGAAAUCACACAGCUGUUAAAUGGCAGAGCUAGAAUUACAGGUCUGUGCUCUACCCUUAAGUUUACAUUUUGUUGGUUUUUCUUCUCACUUUACUGCUAGAUAUUAUUUAGAUUAGUUAUGUGACAGAAAACCUCAAAAAACCCCACUAAACUCCAAAGCAAAUAACAUCAGACUGUCUUAUUUAUUUUGGUCUUGAAUAAUUACUAUUCCCAAUUGAUAUAGUCACAAAAUUAGUGCACACAUACUUUAAUCCAUCUAGCAAUUUUUUAUCUACCCAUCCAUCACCCAUGCCAGAAUAAAUUUGUGCACAUGAUUAUCAAAGUAGCGAACACUUAGAUAAGUUAAAAUAUUUUUAAAAAUAGUGGUUUGUUUUAAUUUAAUAAAAUUCAGGAUUAUAGAAUUUCCAAUGGCAAAAAUUUACAAUUGGAUGCCUUUUAUCUGUUUUUAUAAAGCACAUUCUUCAAAAGGGACCAUCUUAAUUAAUAAUGCCUAAGGAAGUUUAAGAAUGAAAGCUCAUUUUUAUCAGAUUGUGUGGUCUGUAUUAUAGUUACCCACAAGGAGGGAGUGGAUUUGUAAGUAUUUUUAACACGUUCAUAUAGAAUGUAAGUUAGAUUCUAUUUUGACAGAGAAAAUGUAAUUAAAUAAUUUCCUUAAGUUAUCAGAAAAAAACAACAGUGCUUUUGCUUUUAUUUGAUAAAUCACAGUCGUGUUUUUUUUUCCCCCUUAAUAUGUGUGGUCCAUAUAUUGAUCAUAUUGAUUUUUACUCAGUAUGUUUAUACAUUUUGUUCAAAGUUUUUUUUUUUUCAUUUUGCAUUAUGUUGGGCAUAGGCAUUUCAAACCAUGAUGUGGAAAUCUAACAGUCACUGUAACCACAACUCUAAUAAAGGAUGAAUUUCCCAUUGCAUUCUAACAGCAAGUAGCUUUAUCUUGUUAGAGUGAUUUCUAUCCCACUGAGUAUGUUUCAUGAUCUUUUUGAUUGUUAUUUUUCUGGACCAACAUAUGGAAUCAAAUGAUUUCAAGUUGUCAGAAUUCCCAGCUCCCACUUUGUAAAGAAAUGUAAAAAUGUUCAUUAAAAAGAAACAUAAAGGGAAUAUUUACCUCUACAUAAGAAUCUUUAAAGGAUGUAUAGUCUACCAUUUUUUGAAACAUUUAGGAUUGAUUAGUAUGAAUGAUGCUUAUGAAACUACUUUGAAAUGCUUUUCAGGUAUAAUAUUAUUGAAUAUUUUGACUGUAUUUGGAAAAUUUCUCUUGAAUGAACAUUUGAUAUUUUAAUUUUUAACAGAGCACAUUUGCUUAGAUUGCUGAAAGUUCACUCCUAAAUAUUUAAUCUUAAAAUCAUGCAAAGUGUGUUCUUAAGAGAUUUGAGACUUUAGUAUUAAUGUAGCUUAUUUGCUUGUAAUUGGUGGAAACUCAAAUAUUUGAACUUAAAAUCACGGGGAAAAAACAUUGUGAGAUUAGUAGUCUUUUUAUUGAUAUGCAGCCAGCCUCUGUUGGGAGUUGGUCUUCAUGGUAAGUCAUUUAGACCUUUUAACAAGAGAGCAAACCCAUUAAAAAUAUGCAAGCUCUUGAAAACCAAAAUCCAGUAUACUAAUUAGACCUAUUAAGGCAAUUACAGAGCACUAUAAAUGAUGUAAAAGUUAUGUUGGGUUCCUCAUGGUACCAAUGACAAAAAGCCAAGGAGUCCCUAUUUUUCUUAAUAGAGAUAAAGAGUCUGUGUGAUUAAUUUCAGCACCAUUGAGUUAAUGUGCAGUGAGUCGACAGCACAAAGCAUUUCCAUGGGCAGAGAAUAAUGGUAGAAAACAGUUGUUUUACCACUCAAUGGUAAUAUAGCUAUUUGUUAGGUAUGCUUUAGUCGUGAAGAGAAAGCACAACUACCUGUUGAUAAGAAAGAAGAAACAUAAAAGUUUCCUGUGUUGGUUUGUGAUCUUCAGCUGCAGCCGUAUGUCUGAGGUUUUCCUGAUUAGUGUGCACAGCUGAGAAGAUUCUUAAUUGCUGCCUUAAUAUCUUUUGAUGGGUGAUCAAAACUUUAUGACUUCUAUUUUAGAAGACAACUUCAGGAUUAUGAACUAGUAAUAGGAAUUUCAAGCUUGUUCCCUGAAAGGCACUGAUUAUUUUACGAUGGUAUGGAAAACCAUCUCAUUUAAGGAAAUUAAAAAUGAGGCUAUGGUCAACAAAACCUUAAAAUGUCUGUACAGUCUUGGAAGAGACUCUUUUUCAAGUACUUGACAAAAAAAGACCCUCAAUUAAUGUUUAUAAUUACUCUGAAAUAACUGAAACAGAUAGAACUAUUCCCACUCUUCAGAUGAAUGACUGAAGGGAGAAAAUAAAUUUCUGUAAGAUUUUCAGUAAGGGAGGCAAAGUAUUGGAUCAGGACUCAGCUCUUCUAACCCCAUUGAUGCAAGAUGACUGCAAUGAAGAGGUCCCUGAUACUGUGUGACUUUCCUCAAUUUCAGCUGCAUAAUGAAUUUUCAGUUGUUUAUGCCUUGUAGCGUUACGUAUUGCACAAGUGUAUUUAUUAUUAUUCACCAGAUUAUGACAGAUGUGCAAAGUCAGCUAGGGUAGAAUGAGCGUGAAGGAAGGGCAACCAACAGCAUAUGUGCAGAUGUCACUUCUAUUAGCGCCAUCCUCAGUGGUUUUACCACGGACAGGAGCUAUCAACAGAACUGCUUGAGCCCGCAGAAUCUUGUACCAUGCCCACCUCCAGAGCUAAACACAGCAGAACAACUUCAUUGUUUUGGUUUUGCAUUAGUAAUUGUCAUCUUCACUUAAUGUGUUCAUAAAAGCAACGUGUAUAUAUUUUAAUUGGUAUAUGCCCCAUGACAGAAUGGAGUAAUAUAAGAAGAUGAACCACAACUAAAUAUAAUUAAUGGCCCAUUUUAACCUCAUACGAUCAGGAUUUAAAAAUCCCAGUUGCAAAGAUAUAGCUAAUUAUGUUGCUUUAAUCCAUUGCAGCAGCACACAUUUUUUUAAGAAUGGGCAUUUCUUAAUUGAGGUCUUAUUAAAACUAAUAGUUUUUUUUUUUUUUUUUUUCUGAGAAGGUGUAGAUUAAUAAUAGUGGGAAGUGAAUACCUCAGGGAAUCCAUUGCCUAUAGAUGGAUCUGCUUAGUUCUUGGUCUGUUUUCAGAUUACCUAUCAUAAUCUUAAAAUACAUUGACCAUGUAAGGGUUUUUCAUCAAAUUUCCAUUAUAGGGUAAGAGUUCAUUGACAGCAGAAAUUUUCUUACCUUUUUUAAUCACUCUUGGUUAAUAUCAUGCCACAGGUAUUGCACAAAUGGCAAAUGAAUCCAGAAUUUUAUAUCUGAUUAAUCAAAUAUGUAUAUAUACACACAUAUAUGUGUAUAUGUAUACACACACACACAUAUAUAUUUUUGGUCUCUUUAUGGCCGCACCCAAGGUAGGUGGAGGUUCCCAGGCUAGGCUAGGGGUCACAUCGGAGCUGUAGCUGCUGACCUAUGCCACAGCCACAGCAAAGCCAGAUCUGAGCCAUGUCUAUGACCUACGCUGAAACUCACAGCAAUGCCGGAUCCUUAACCCACUGAGUGGGGCCAGGGAUCAAACCUGUGUACUCAUGGAUACUAGUAGGGUUCAUUACUGGUGAGCCAUGAUCGGAACUCUCUCAAUUAAGUAUUGAUCUGCAGAGAGUUACAUGUAGUCCUGAAAUGGCUAACUGGGAAGAGGAUUUUCUCUUUGGAGCAAUGACGCAGGUGAUCUGGUGAAAGUUAUUGAACAUGAUUCUGAUUUUACUAUUUUUAAAGGAUGAAUAAAACUUCUGAAAAGGCCUGGAGAGUGUAUUUAGGGUCUCUGAAACCUUGGGCUCCUUUCUCUGUAUAAGGUAUAGACCAUGGAGGAGAAAGGAGGAUACAUUCAAUUAAGAACUUUGUUCUUAGGGAGUUCCCCUCAUGGCGCAGCAGAAAGAAAUCUGACUAGGAUCCAUGAGGAUUCAGGUUCUAUCCCUGGCCUCCCUCAGUGGGUUAAGGAUCUGGCGUUGCUGUGGCUGUGGUGUAGGCCAGCAGAUACAGCUCUGAUAAAAACCUCUAUAUGCCUUGGAUUAGGCCCUAAAAAAAGCAAAAAACAAAAACCUUGUUUCCUAGGUGAUGUCAGCAUUUUCCUAGACAAUGGUUUAAGAGCGCCAAAAUGAUGAGCUCAUGAUGGGAGAAAAAUGGAGCUCCAAGGAAGGAGAAAGUCCCUUUACUAAGAGAUCUGUCAGGCUGAUCAGUUGAAAAUGGAUCAGGGAUUCUAAAACAUGUAAAUAUAUUCAGUUAUCUUAAACUGACCUAGAAAGAAGAAGAACAGUGGAGAAAGUUCCAAAUAGGUCAUACAGAAAAAAAAAAAAAAAAA